AAAGAGCAUGAGAGAUCUCAAAGAAACUUUCAGAAGGUUAGCAGGCAAAUGUGACGUGUGUCAGGAACGCGGAAGCUGAGGGAGGAGGAUUCCCAGAAGAAGUCAGAUGCAGACAGAGGUCAGGAGAGUAAGUCUGGAGCAAAGGUUACAGACAUUAUUUUUAGUUAGAGAUUAUUGUCAUCCCUGACCUUGAGGAAGAGAGUAAUUCUAGUGGGGCAUGACUGCAGAAUCCAGAGGACAAAUAUUUAGGGAAUUGAGUGGGUGUACAGGAAAUAGUGGCUGACUAUUUUAGAUUCCUGUUUUGAGAAGAUGAGUGGUGAAAGGUGAGAAUGGGAGUGGCAAGACUGUGGGGAGGUACUGUGGAGGAGACAGCAUAUUUAUAAUAAAUGAGAUAAUGCAUAUUCAGUGCUCAGCCUAGAGGAAACACUCACCCAAGUGCUGCCUGUUGUUGUUGUAAGAGAAGAGAGCUUGGUAACUAAGGGAAUGGGGUCUGAGUGGAGGCAGAGGAGGAUGAGUUCAGGGGCUCAGGUUGCAGGGAAGAGGGCAUCCAGAAUAUAUGAUGGAGAGAAAGAGUCGGCAGCAGAGGCAGAGCAGAGGAAGACAGCCUCUUCUGCCAAGAGAAGACGGACAAUGCACCAAAAUAGAAGCAUAAAUAAUUGCUGCUUGCUAUUUUAUUCAUCUUUUUAUGUUUCUUUCGCAUCUCCCUCAUUCUAAGGUCCCUGGUAGCAGGAACCAGGCUUCACCCUUCAUUGCGUUUAAAGAGACCACGUAGAAAAGUGAUUAUGGCCAGCGACUCUGAAGCCAAACUGCCUGGGUUCAAAUCUCAGCUUUGCCAUUGACUUACUAGCUCUGUAACCUUGGACAAUCUACUUAGUUUCUCUGUGCUCCAGUUUCCCCAUGUGUAAAAUCUUUCACUAAAGUGAAGGAGGGCUAAUGAAGAUAAAAAAGUUGUUCCCCUCAUGAUGGCCAGGCAGGAGGAGGAAGAAUCUGAGCACUCCAGGGUCUCAACAAGGAUGAGUAACGGCGAAUAAAUGUGAUUGCAUACUCUUUCCAUCAAAUAAAAACAUAUAAGAUAAAACAAACCCCAAAAGCCAAGUACUGUUUGAAGUAU
rnacentral:lncRNA from 1 species